rnacentral:lncRNA from 1 species
UUAGAUACUUUUACUGACUAAUUUUUCCUUCUUUUUUAAAAAAAAAUAUGAAAUUUUUUUUUUUAGAAAAAAAAAAUCAUUAAUUAAAAAUAAAUUAUGGCAAGAACCAGGAAUGGAAACGAUAUGAAUAUAUAACAGACUUAAACUACAGCGAGCCCUUAUUAUUUCUUCUUCCGUUCAUGCGGUUCAUGAAUCGUGGAGUGAGACAAAUAUAAACUGUUAUUUCCCUAUGGGCUAUGACAUAAUUAAAUGCAAUUAUGGACAGAAUAAAUUAUGAAACCGCCAAAGAUACGUGAGUACCUAAAAAUAACGAAUGAUGUCAUUCCUAGUCAACCCUUCAUCAUUCCAAUCGAUCUAAUAUUUGUACCCUCUCCUCCAAAUUGGUUCAAUAAGGAGAAACAAAAAGAAAGCAUUCGGUUACUUCUUCCCUACAUCAGCGAACGCCUCACGCAAACUAAAGAGAACCUUGAGAAAGCUCCAGCUCCAAAGCCUCUAUUAAUAGAAUCUUCAUUCCUCAAAAUCGCAGCUAUUUGUAAACCUUUUAAACCCGAUUCGCGUUCCUUCAUGCUGCGUGAUUAUAGUAGGGUUAGCUGCCAUGGAGAAUUCAUGACAGCCGUGGUUGCUUUGAAAGAGGAGGGAAAUAGCGAUUUGGAAGGGAUUUUGAACGAAACCUUGGGAUCCAAAAAGGCUACUCAGCCCCAAAUUAGUCGAUAUUUUGCGAAAUAGUUCUUUAUUUUCCGAAAAAUGAGGCAAUUUUAUCGACGAAGCGAGUCAAAAAUGUCUCAUGGAUUGGGGUUUUAUCUGUAAUGGAUUCCUGUAGAUUGUAAGGUAGCUUCGGGGAUGUAUGGAGGAAAAAUAUUCCUCUUGAGGUGUUACUGACGUGGAAUCCUAAAUGUGUCUUCUCUUCAUUCCAACAUUUUCCAUUAUUGUACUCCGUCCAAUCCUUGCAUUUUCUAUUUUAUAAUAAGAAUUAAAUAGCUAAUAAAUAAACGAUGUAUCAUCAUAUUACAAACGAA